CUGAGAUGCAGACAGAGAUUCAGGAGUUGAAGGAGGAGUGUGCUCGCUACACAGAGAGACUGAAAAACAUCAAAGCAGCUACCAACCAUGUCACUCCAGAAGAGAAGGAGAAGGUGUACAGGGAGAGACAGAAGUACUGUAAAGAGUGGAGGAAGCGGAAGAGAAUGACCACAGAGCUGUGCGAUGCGAUCCUUGAAGGUUACCCCAAGAGCAAGAAGCAGUUCUUUGUAAGUGACUUUCCUCUCUUGCUCCCCUGGGAUCUUUGCCCAGGGGACUCUUCACUGCUUUCCUUUCACAGGAAGAAGUUGGGAUAGAGACAGAUGAAGAUCAUAAUGUUACGCUCCCAGACCCCUGAGGGGCCCUUGAUGGAGGUGGGAACAGACCGUCCUGCUUUGGCCACCUUACUGAGGUGGCCUUUUUAUUCUUGCUGUUCUCCACCUUUGAGCAGUGGACAGAGGAGCACAGAGGCAUAGUGUUAGGUAGAGGCUGCUGGUUAGAAAGGGAUGGUCACAAUCAUUUUGUACAGGCCUCAACAAGGACUUGUAACAAUC
rnacentral:lncRNA from 1 species